ensembl:lncRNA
GGAUCACUGAACAAUCUGCAGAAGGGCUCUGGAGACACACUAACACUGCAGAGCUGGGAUGUUUUCUCCGGGGAAGGGCCUGGACAGCACAGCUGAGCACCAUCAACUUGCGCAGCCAUGAGCUGGAGGGAACCAUGCCAGUCAGUAUGUUGUAGAUUAUUCAGAUCCUGGCAGGAAAAAUCAAAAUCAAAAGGUUUUUGAGCCUUCAAGACCGUUUUACUGGUCUGCAUUUUUUUGGAUCAUUUUCUAAAGGAGAUCAAGGCCAGCAUUCCUCGCUGCCAUGGGAUUGCGUAUUGAAGAAAUGUCAUUGGAUACUGCACUAAAGCUGUGGCUGCUCUUUCUGCUUCCUACAUUCAUUUUCCA